GAGAUGAUGGGGGGGGGGGUUGGAAAUCAGUGAUGGGGAAAAUGGAUGGAGGCGAGAGGAUUGGGGGGAGGGUGGGCUCUAAUGGCCCAAAGACACAGCUGGCUGCAGGCACCCAAGGACAGAGACGCCGAAAGAGGGAGACGGAGACGGAGAGGGCCCUCGACUGUUCUUUAUGUGGCCUGUGUAGGAAGCACACAGAGCCCUCCCCACAAAGAGACCAGGUGAGAUAAUUGAUGAUAUCAAAUCUGUAAUUUAAUUUCAAAAUUUGCCCCAAGCUUAUCAAUUAUUGGAGCCUCAGGUGACUUUCUGUACCACGUGUGACACUGAGAGCUUUCAGCCCAGUUACCAUGACAACACAUCAGCCAUGUGAUGGUCACAUGGGUCCCACUCUGAUCAUCUUUUGAUCUAAUUUAAAAGCGUUUCUAGUGGUGGAUUAUUUAUAAUCGUUUUUAAAUUGACAUUUAAAAACAAUAAUUUUCUAAGACACAGUUUUUCCAGAGCGGCAGGAGUUCAUUAGAAAUUCGCCUCUGAGUUUUGUCUGGGACCUUUUGCAUGGUGUAAGCCUGCCCACACCUUCCAUCAUCCCUUUGUUUACACGCUCUCCCUCAAGCUUACAGCCACUUACACAUCCAACCUAACAUUACCCGUGCAACCAAAAUGGUGAGCGAUAUUGGAGCUAUCCGGUCGUAAGAGCCAGAUGCCAGCUAAGAUGAGGAAGACAAAGACGUACGUGGAUCUAGUCUUCUACACGUAGAUGCAUGAAGCAUGGAGCGGAGCAGGGAGCUUGUGGCUUGCCGUAGUAGCUUC